rnacentral:rRNA from 1 species
CACCAGUGGGGAAUAUUGGGCAAUGGAGGAAACUCUGACCCAGCGACGCCGCGUGCGGGAUGAAGGCCUUCGGGUUGUAAACCGCUUUCAGCAGGGAAUAAGCGCAAGUGAAGGUACCUGCAGAAGAAGCACCGGCUAACUAUGUGCCAGCAGCCGCGGUAAUACAUAGGGUGCAAGCGUUGUCCGGAAUUAUUGGGCGUAAAGAGCUCGUAGGUGGUUUGUUACGUCGGUUGUGAAAUUCAGGGGCUCAACCCCUGACUUGCAGCCGAUACGGGCAAGCUAGAGUUUGGUAGGGGAGACUGGAAUUCCUGGUGUAGCGGUGGAAUGCGCAGAUAUCAGGAGGAACACCGAUGGCGAAGGCAGGUCUCUGGGCCAAUACUGACACUGAGGAGCGAAAGCGUGGGGAGCGAACAGGAUUAG